rnacentral:sRNA from 1 species
UGUGUGUGUUUGCGUGUAUGUCACAUGGAUGCACUUAGUAUAUGGCCCUGUCUUCUAGUUUGUUUCUGGAAAGGGAAGUGAUUGACUUUGAUUUCUGCUUCUGGUUUUUGGCAGACUUUUGUUCCCAUCAACAAGGGCAAUAUCACUAAAUCAGAGCCACACAGUCAAUGGAGUUAGCCAAGUGCCGAUGCUGAGCGGUCAGUGACAUCAAUCAUAGUCCUUCAGCCCAUCAGUAUCCAAGUGGGGACAGGCUAGAGAGCUAAUCACAGUGGAGGACAGUUCACCGAAAGAUGCUGAAAGGUAGAUGGCCUCUCUCAGGAUUAUUUUACUCAUCAUGACCUCGGAUGUAUAACCCUUCAAAGAGGAGGUAUGGAGUCUACAACCAAACCUGUGACAAAGUUGACCUCCAAGCUGUUAGUUUUCAACUAAAACUCAAGCAGGAUUUGGGAGCAGGGAGCUAUGGACCGGGAUCUGAGAAGUUGGAGCCAGAGCAAGAAACCAGAAGUGCCUGGUCCCAGAGGACUUCUGCCUUUGUGUGUCCUGAGUCCACCUGGCAGGUCACUUGGAGCAGAAAAGUUCACCUUACCUCUGCUUUCAGGAUAUGUCAAAUGUCCUGAGUGCAGUGGAUCCUCUGGUAUGUGUGCAGACAUAGCCUCUUCCAGGGAGCAGACUUGCUAGCAGUCUGUCCAAGCAGAAAGGACCAAGCAGAACAGGAUUGGUACUCCACAGCUUUCAUGUCCAGACUACAGGAAGUGCUAAGUGGUUCUGAAUCCUUCCAGAAAUCAACUGUUAAUAGAGAUCCCAGAGUGAGUAGACAAAACUAGAACAUAUAGGAAUGUCUUAAUGUCGCGGCUAGGUUUUGUAUUGCAGUAACAAAAGAUCAUGACCAAAAGCAACUUGCCAGCUUAUAACCCUCUUCACAGGAAGUUGGGGAAGGAACUUGGAGGAAGCUGAAGCAGAAACCAUGGGGAAGGGCUGAUUACAGAGUCUUUAUCCAAGGCUAGCUCAGCCUGCUUUCUUAUGGACCUCCACUCCUGGUCAAGGACCGUCUGAAAUGUAGGUCCUCUCACAGCAAUCGUUUAUUAAGAAAAUGAAUCACAACUUGUCCACAGGACAACCUGGUAGGGCAUUUUCCCAGUUGAGGCUCGUGUCAUCUUGGCAUAAAACCAGAUUGCACACUUAGUGACUACAUUGCGUGGCAGUGGGUUUCUAACACCCUCACAUACUGUGAACUCCACAGAGUCUAGCUGAUCCACUCAGGUACCACUUGAGGCUCCCUAAACACCCAAAGAACUGACUGGGACUGACAAGGUCUGGAAUGGGUAUAAAAGCAAGACUCUCAAAUUUUUAUGAUUUACAAGUGAUCCACUCUAAAAGAGACUAUGGACUAAUUUUAGUGAGUUUUUUUUAUCUGAAUGCCAUUUAAAUGAAUCCUGUAGAAAAGCAUUCUUUAGUAGUUCUCUCUAAAAAUAUCAGACAUAUCUUAGUUUGUCAUAUAAUAAGUUCUGUUUAUAUGCAUAAAAAUUUUUGCACCUAGAAAAAAUCGGCAUCAGAAAAAUACAAAUAACGGGCAAUAAAAAAAAUUAGAUAUGUCCUCCAUCUACCAAAUGACAUUAUAGUCUAGGCUGGUGUCUCCUCACUCUAAAAUGAGAGUGUUACGGUAUUUGGUAUGUAAGGCUCUUUCUAGCUUUGGAACUGUGCAAAAUGUGAAAUAAGAACAAAUUUUCAUAUAGUCAGUGUAGAGACAGUGUGGUGGUUUGAUUAAGAAAUGUUCUCCUUAUUGGGCCAAACAUUUGAACACUUGGUUCUUACUUACUUGUGCUGUUUUGAUAGACUAUAGGAAAGCAUAAUUUUCUGAGGAGCCACCAGAUUGAU